ACGGAAGGCAGCAGUGGGGGAUAUUGCACAAUGGGGGAAACCCUGAUGCAGCGACGCCGCGUGAGCGAAGAAGUAUUUCGGUAUGUAAAGCUCUAUCAGCAGGGAAGAAAAUGACGGUACCUGACUAAGAAGCUCCGGCUAAAUACGUGCCAGCAGCCGCGGUAAUACGUAUGGAGCAAGCGUUAUCCGGAUUUACUGGGUGUAAAGGGAGCGUAGACGGUUUGCCAAGUCUGAUGUGAAAGGUGGGGGCUCAACCCCCAAACUGCAUUGGAAACUGGUAGACUAGAGUGUCGGAGAGGUAAGUGGAAUUCCUAGUGUAGCGGUGAAAUGCGUAGAUAUUAGGAGGAACAUCAGUGGCGAAGGCGGCUUACUGGGCUUUAACUGACGCUGAGGCUCGAAAGCGUGGGGAGCAAACAGGAUUAGAUACCCUGGUA
rnacentral:rRNA from 1 species